AUGAACGCUGGCGGCGUGCCUCAUACAUGCAAGUCGCGCGAACGGACGAGAAGCUUGCUUCUCUGAUGUUAGCGGCGGACGGGUGAGUAACACGUGGAUAACCUACCUAUAAGACUGGGAUAACUUCGGGAAACCGGAGCUAAUACCGGAUAAUAUUUUGAACCGCAUGGUUCAAAAGUGAAAGGCGGUCUUGCUGUCACUUAUAGAUGGAUCCGCGCUGCAUUAGCUAGUUGGUAAGGUAACGGCUUACCAAGGCAACGAUGCAUAGCCGACCUGAGAGGGUGAUCGGCCACACUGGAACUGAGACACGGUCCAGACUCCUACGGGAGGCAGCAGUAGGGAAUCUUCCGCAAUGGGCGAAAGCCUGACGGAGCAACGCCGCGUGAGUGAUGAAGGUCUUCGGAUCGUAAAACUCUGUUAUUAGGGAAGAACAUAUGUGUAAGUAACUGUGCACAUCUUGACGGUACCUAAUCAGAAAGCCACGGCUAACUACGUG
rnacentral:rRNA from 1 species